UAGCCUAUGAUGAUAUCAGUUAUCAAAACACACCAUCUUUCGGGACUGAAUGGCUUCUAAGCCUUGCUGUUAUUCUGCAAUUCUGAGGCUA